rnacentral:misc_RNA from 1 species
UAGGCUUGUAUUGCCUAAGCGGAUUGUGGGUUUCCUGUGCUGCCUACCUAAGUAAUGGUAUUGCUUCGAUCGAUCGAAGUCCAUUUUCGUCUUCUGUUAUACUCAUGACAUUAGAUGAACCUCGAAGCGUUCUCUUUGAACUACGUCGUCAAUGCAUGCGUUGAUGUCGUGGCCCAUUGAGCAAUGCUUGGUCUCUUGGAUACGGAUCAUGAUGUGGGCAUUGGGUCUCAUGAGAUCCUAGUUUUGCCCUCAUUCAGCGUUCGCGCUUCUCUUAAAAUGACUGCCUUGCGCCCGUAUUGGCUCGUACCAGCGGGGCGGGAUUUGUCUAAGAGGAAUGC